AGGGUUUGAUCCUGGCUCAGAACGAACGCUGGCGGCAUGCCUAACACAUGCAAGUCGAACGGGAUCCUAGCUUCGGUUAGGUGAGAGUGGCGGACGGGUGAGUAACGCGUGGGAACCUGCCCAGUGGUGGGGGAUAACUGCGGGAAACUGCAGCUAAUACCGCAUGAGCCCGAGAGGGGAAAGAUUUAUCGCCAUUGGAGGGGCCCGCGUUCGAUUAGGUAGUUGGUGGGGUAAAGGCCUACCAAGCCGACGAUCGAUAGCUGGUCUGAGAGGAUGAUCAGCCACACUGGGACUGAGAUACGGCCCAGACUCCUACGGGAGGCAGCAGUGGGGAAUAUUGGACAAUGGGGGCAACCCUGAUCCAGCAAUGCCGCGUGAGUGAUGAAGGCCUUCGGGUUGUAAAGCUCUUUUGGCGGGGACGAUGAUGACGGUACCCGCAGAAUAAGCCCCGGCUAACUUCGUGCCAGCAGCCGCGGUAAUACGAAGGGGGCAAGCGUUGUUCGGAAUUACUGGGCGUAAAGGGCGCGUAGGCGGCUUACCAAGUCAGGCGUGAAAUUCCCGGGCUCAACCUGGGGGCUGCGCUUGAUACUGGUGAGCUUGAAUGCGGGAGAGGAUAGUGGAAUUCCCAGUGUAGAGGUGAAAUUCGUAGAUAUUGGGAAGAACACCGGUGGCGAAGGCGGCUAUCCGGCCCGUGAUUGACGCUGAGGCGCGAAAGCGUGGGGAGCAGACAGGAUUAGAUACCCUGGUAGUCCACGCCGCAAACGAUGAAUGCUAGACGUUGGCGAGCAUGCUCGUCAGU
rnacentral:rRNA from 1 species